GUACACGCUGUGACUAGCAUAUCAAUAAGCGGAGGAAAAGGGGCAGUGGCUUGACCAUAUCUCGGGAAAGAAGUCAUGGUCGUACCUACGCUUAGGAUGUUGACACACGCGCGUGCUCGACUCUAUACAUGACUCUGUGCAUAUCAAUAAGCGGAGGAAAAGAAACUAACAAGGAUUCCCCUAGUAACGGCGAGUGAAGCGGGAAGAGCUCAAAUUUGAAAUCUUAAAGGGUUUCCCUUUACGAAUUGUAGUUUAAAGAAGUGUUUUCUGUUGAGGUUUUGGUAAAAGUUCUUUGGAAUAGGACAUCAUAGAGGGUGAGAAUCCCGUAUUUGACCUUUACUUUCAACUUUGUGAUACACUUUCAAAGAGUCGGAUUGUUUGGGAAUGCAGUCCAAAAUGGGUGGUAAAUUUCAUCUAAAGCUAAAUAUUGGCGAGAGACCGAUAGCGAACAAGUACCGUGAGGGAAAGAUGAAAAGAACUUUGAAAAGAGAGUUAAACAGUACGUGAAAUUGUCAAAAGGGAAGCGUUUGACACCAGUGUUGUUUUUCUGAAGAUCAAUUAAAGAACUGUUUAUGCUAAGUUGUUUAGACUUUAUCAGCUAUCUGUUUAGUUUUGAGCUUUUCUUUAAUGCACUUUUCAGUUAACAAGUCAACAUCAAUUUCUUUUGCUGUAAAAAAGCUUGAGGAAGGUGGCUUGAGAUUCGUCUUAAGUGUUUAUAGCCUCUUGCCUAUGCAGUCGGAGAGAUUGAGGUCUGCAGCGUAGAUCCUUCGGGGCUAAAUGCAUUUGUGCUAAGUUAUAGCAUUUUAUAGACAACUUGUUGACUAUGAUUUGUCUUGUAGCUUACUCGCUUAUGUUAUUUUACCUACGCUUAGGAUGUUGAGUCGUACAGAGCGAGAGU
rnacentral:rRNA from 1 species